rnacentral:rRNA from 1 species
AUUGAACGCUGGCGGCAGGCCUAACACAUGCAAGUCGAACGAGUGGCGGACGGGUGAGUCAUGUCUGGGAAACUGCCCGAUGGAGGGGGAUAACUACUGGAAACGGUAGCUAAUACCGCAUACUAUCGGAUGUGCCCAGAUGGGUUUGGCUAGUAGGUGGGGUAACGGCUCACCUAGGCGACGCUCCCUAGCUGGUCUGAGAGGAGGACCAGCCACACUGGAACUGAGAAACGGGCCAGACUCCUACGGGAGGCAACAGUGGGGAAUAUUGCACAAGGGGGGAAAGCCUGAUGCAGCCAUGCCGCGUGUAUGAAGAAGGCCUUCGGGUUGUAAAGUACUUUCAGCGAGGAGGCGUUACUCGCAGAAGAAGCACCGGCUAACUCCGUGCCAGCAGCCGCGGUAAUAC